CUGACCUGCCCAGUGAUGAUUUUAACGGCCGCGGUAUACUGACCGUGCAAAGGUAGCAUAAUCAUUAGUCUUUUAAUAGAGGGCUGGAAUGAAAGGUUUAACGAGGAACUAGCUGUCUCAUUUUAUUUGUUUUAAAAUUUAAUUUUUUAGUUAAAAAGCUAAAAUUAUAUUGGAAGACGAGAAGACCCUAUAGAUCUUUAUAUAAUAUUAAUUUACCAUUAUAAUAUAAAUGUGGUUAGUUCUAAUUAUAUUUUGUUGGGGUGACAAGAAUAUAUAAUUAACUUUUUUAUUUAAUUAACAUUGAUAUAUGAUUAUUUGAUCCAUUAUUAGUGAUUAUUAGAGUAAGUUACCUUAGGGAUAACAGCGUAAUCCUCCUCCAGAGUUCAUAUUUACAGGAAGGGCUUGCGACCUCGAUGUUGGAUUAAGAUAAUAAUUAGGUGUAGCCGCUUAAUUGAUGGGUCUGUUCGACCUUUAA
rnacentral:rRNA from 1 species